AGUGAACGCUGGCGGUAGGCCUAACACAUGCAAGUCGAACGGCAGCACAGUAAGAGCUUGCUCUUACGGGUGGCGAGUGGCGGACGGGUGAGGAAUACAUCGGAAUCUACUUUUUCGUGGGGGAUAACGUAGGGAAACUUACGCUAAUACCGCAUACGACCUACGGGUGAAAGCAGGGGAUCUUCGGACCUUGCGCGAUUGAAUGAGCCGAUGUCGGAUUAGCUAGUUGGCGGGGUAAAGGCCCACCAAGGCGACGAUCCGUAGCUGGUCUGAGAGGAUGAUCAGCCACACUGGAACUGAGACACGGUCCAGACUCCUACGGGAGGCAGCAGUGGGGAAUAUUGGACAAUGGGCGCAAGCCUGAUCCAGCCAUACCGCGUGGGUGAAGAAGGCCUUCGGGUUGUAAAGCCCUUUUGUUAGGAAAGAAAAGCAGCAGGCUAAUACCCCGCUGUUCUGACGGUACCCAAAGAAUAAGCACCGGCUAACUUCGUG
rnacentral:rRNA from 1 species